rnacentral:rRNA from 1 species
UUACGGUCAAAUCACGCUGAAACACCGGUUCUCGUACGAUCACCGAAGUUAAGCAGCGUAGAGCCAGGUCAGUACUUAGAUGGGAACACCUGGUAC